CCCUUAGAUGUUCUGGGCCGCACGCGUGCUACACUGAGUGGAUCAGCGGGUCAGGUUGCGCGAAAGUGUUUCCUAAUCUUGAAAUCCGCUCGUGAUGGGGAUUGACGGUUGCAAUUUUCUGUCAUGAACGAGGAAUACCUUGUAAGCGCGGGUCAUCAUCCCGCGCUGAAUACGUCCCUGCCCUUUGUACACACCGCCCGUCGCUCCUACCGAUUGAGUGGUCCGGUGAGGCUUUGGGGUCUGGAUGGAAAGAGCGUUUCGCUGUUUCUGCCCGGAAAACUCAGUCGAACCUUAUCAUUUAGAGGAAGGAGAAGUCGUAACA
rnacentral:rRNA from 1 species